rnacentral:rRNA from 1 species
ACGGGAGGCAGCAGCUAAGAAUAUUCCGCAAUGGACGAAAGUCUGACGGAGCGACGCCGCGUGGAUGAUGAAGGCCGGAAGGUUGUAAAAUCCUUUUAUAACUGAGGAAUAAGUAUUAUCAGAGAAAGGUAGUAUGGUGACUGUAGGUUAUGAAUAAGCAACGGCUAAUUACGUGCCAGCAGCCGCGGUAACACGUAAGUUGCGAGCGUUGUUCGGAAUUAUUGGGCGUAAAGGGCAUGUAGGCGGUUUUGCAAGCUUGGUGUGAAAUCCCGGAGCUCAACUCCUGGACUGCGUUGAGAACUGCAUGACUAGAGUCACUGAGGGGCAAUCAGAAUUCCAGGUGUAGGGGUGAAAUCUGUAGAUAUCUGGAAGAAUACCAAUGGCGAAGGCAGGUUACCAGCAGAUGACUGACGCUGAGGUGCGAAGGUGCGGGGAGCAAACAGGAUUAGAUACCCUGGUA